GGUUAACCCGAGAGGGGUAGCCGAAGCGAAAGCGAGUCUGAACAGGGCGUUCAGUCGCAUGCUGUAGACCCGAAGCCAAGUGAUCUUGCCAUGGUCAGGUUGAAACGGGGGUAAGACCCCGUGGAGGUCCGAACCCGUAUCAGUUGAAAAUGGUUGGGAUGAGGUGUGGGUGGGAGUGAAAGGCUAAUCAAGCUGGGAAAUAGCUGGUUCUUUCCGAAAUAUAUUUAGGUAUAGCCUUGAUGAAUUUUAUAUAGGGGUAAAGCACAGUUUUUGCUUUGGGGUCGCAAGAUUACCGGGUUUUUACUAACUCUGAAUACUAUAUAUUUUGAAGUCAGGAGACAGGCUACGAGAGAUAAGUUCCGUGGCCGAAAGGGAAACAGCCCAGACCAUCAGUUAAGGUCCCCAAGUAUUUGCUAAGUGUUUAAAGAAGUGAAAAUACACAGACAGCCAGGAGGUUGGCUUUGAAGCAGCCAUCCUUUAAAGAAAGCGUAAUAGCUCACUGGUCAAGUGUUUUUGCGCUAAAGUAUACACGGGGCUAAGCAAAUCACCGAAACUAUGGCUUGUACAUUUUUGUGUACAGGGGUAGGAAAGCGUUCUUGAAUAGAUACGAGUUCAACUGUAAAGAUGGAUGAUGGAUUCAAGAAGUGAGAAUGUUGGUAUAAGUAACGAAAAAAUGGGUGAAAAUCCCGUUCGCCGUAAAUCUAAGGUUUCCUGAGAAAUGUUUAUCAUCUCAGGGUUAGUCGAUUCCUAAGCUGAGGCCGAUUGGAGUAAGUGAUGGAUAACAGGUUAAUAUUCCUGUACUAUAAAAAUGCGAUUGAAUGAUGGAGUGACGCAGUAGGAUAGGUUGAAUGAGCAUUUGGUGCUCAUCCAAGCUUUAAGGUAGAUGAUAUAGGUAAAUCCGUAUCAUUGUUGAUUUGAGGAGUGAUAGGUCUUUUUAGUUCUAGUAAUUAAAUGGAUUCAAUUGAUUUCACACUGACAAGAAAAACUUCUAGUGAGUAUUUUUGUAAUCGUACCGCAAACUGACACAAGUAGAUGGGCUGAGAAUGCUCAGGCGUUGAGAUAAUUAUCGUUAAGGAACUCGGCAAAUUAGCCUCGUAACUUCGGGAGAAGAGGUGCCUGUGAUGUAUUUUAAACUAUGCAUCGUCAGGUUUCAACAAAGAGGCCCAAUCGACUGUUUAACAAAAACACAGAGCUCUGCUAAUUCGAAAGAAGAUGUAUAGAGUUUGACGCCUGCCCAGUGCUGGAAGGUCAACAGGAGAUGUUAAUUGAAAGAUGAAGCAUUGAAUCGAAGCCCCAGUAAACGGCGGCCGUAACUAUAACGGUCCUAAGGUAGCGAAGUCCCUUGUCGGGUAAAUUCCGACCUGCAUGAAUGGCGUAACGAGUUGGGCGCUGUCUUGACGAUAAACUCAGUGAAUUUGUAGUAGGGGUGAAAAUGCCCCUUACCUGCAAUUGGACGGAAAGACCCCGUGCACCUUUACUGCAAUUUUGCAUUGUUGUUUGGGUUUGUAUAUGUAGGAUAGGCGGGAGACUUUGAUGUGUAGGCGCUAGCUUAUGCGGAGUCGUCGGUGAAAUACCGCUUUUAUUAGCUUGAAUAUCUAACUUUAAUCCAUUAUCUGGAUAGAGGACAUUGCAUGAUGGGCAGUUUGACUGGGGUGGUCGCCUCCCAAAGAGUAACGGAGGCAUUCAAAGGUUCCCUCAGACUGGUUGGUAAUCAGUCGGCGAGUGUAAUGACACAAGGGAGCUUUACUGCGAGACUUACAAGUCAAGCAGUUGCGAAAGCAGGACAUAGUGACCCGGCCUUUGCUUGUGG
rnacentral:rRNA from 1 species